rnacentral:rRNA from 1 species
UGGGGAAUUUUCCGCAAUGGGCGAAAGCCUGACGGAGCAACGCCGCGUGGGGGAGGAAUGUCUGUGGAUUGUAAACCCCUUUUCUCAGGGAAGAAGUUCUGACGGUACCUGAGGAAUCAGCAUCGGCUAACUCCGUGCCAGCAGCCGCGGUAAUACGGAGGAUGCAAGCGUUAUCCGGAAUUAUUGGGCGUAAAGCGUCCGCAGGUGGCUUAUCAAGUCUGCUGUUAAAGCGCAGGGCUCAACUCUGUAAGGGCAGUGGAAACUGAUAGGCUAGAGUACGGUAGGGGCAGAGGGAAUUCCCAGUGUAGCGGUGAAAUGCGUAGAUAUUGGGAAGAACACCAGUGGCGAAGGCGCUCUGCUGGGCCGUAACUGACACUGAGGGACGAAAGCUAGGGGAGCGAAAGGGAUUAGAUACCCCCGUAGUCC